rnacentral:misc_RNA from 1 species
GUGAGUCAUCGAAUCUUUGAACGCACCUUGCACUCCUUGGUAUUCCGAGGAGUAUGCCUGUUCGAGUGUCAUGAAACUCUCAAACCGCAUCUUCAUUGAUGUCGGGCUUGGAAUUGGACGUUGCUGGACGCAAGUUCGGCUCGUCUUGAAUGCAUUAGCUGACGAUUUCGACUUCAGUUAAACCGUGUGAUAAUACAUCUACGCGGGCAGCCGCAAGGCGCUGAGUUGUUACUUGAAGGCUUCCAAUCGUCCUUUCGAGGACUGUCCUUUACGGGCAUUUCAUUUCACAUCUGGCCUCGA